AAAAAAUUAGCCAGGUGUAGUGGCAUGCUCCUGUAGUCCCAACUACUGGGGAGGCUGAAGUGGGAGGAUCACUUGAUGCUAGGAGGAUGAGGCUGCAGUGAGCAGCGAUCACUCUACUACACUCCAGCCCGAGCAACAGAGUGAGACCUUGUCUCAAAAAAAAAAAAAAAAAAGUGAGGUCAACUUAAAAUGUAGAAUUAACCUUAUUUCAGCCAAGUAAGUAUUAAAACUUAUAGUUUCCAAGAACACAUUGCUGAUAGGGAAGGAAACUGGCAAAGAGGGAGACUCCAAGAAAGAAUGAGUAGAGACUCACACACCAACAUCAACACACACAGAGGAGACAGAUCAAGGGGGUAAGCCACAAACAGACCAUAGAAGGCCAGUGGCUGCAAGUGAAAGAAAUCCAACUCAACUAGCUUAGACAAACCACAGAAAGAGCCUCUAGAUAUCAACUCUGAUCUCCCUCAGACAAGUUCCUACAAGUGAAUGGAAGAACAACUGUUGGCAGUUUUCAGACCACAUCUCCCAGCUACCCCACCCAAGAAGAACUGCACUCUUUCCUUUCGUAUCAAUUCAAACAUCCUGGUGCAGAACUGCGGGUCUAGGGAGGGACAGGAGGGAAUGUCCAGAAGAAAUGAGAAGAUAUGAGGCUGCAAUUAAAAUAUUAAAUGUCUUCCACGUGGAAUCAUAAUUCUAAUUGGCUUCUGUUCUUUCUGGUUAUAAAUGCAUCAUUGUUUCCAUAAAUUCAGGAAAGAUGUAGAUAAAACAGGAGGUUAAUGAACACAACUGUAU
rnacentral:lncRNA from 1 species